GAUGAACGCUGGCGGCGUGCUUAACACACGCAAGUCGAACGAAGCAUUUAGACGGAAGUUUUCGGACGGAAGACUAAAUGACUGAGUGGCGGACGGGUGAGUAACGCGUGGAUAACCUACCUCAUACAGGGGGAUAACAUUCAGAAAUGAGUGCUAAUACCGCAUAAGCGCACGAGGACCGCAUGGUCUGGUGUGAAAAACUCCGGUGGUAUGAGAUGGAUCCGCGUCGGAUUAGCUAGUUGGAGGGGUAACGGCCCACCAAGGCGACGAUCAGUAGCCGACCUGAGAGGGUGACCGGCCACAUUGGGACUGAGACACGGCCCAAACUCCUACGGGAGGCAGCAGUGGGGAAUAUUGCACAAUGGGGGAAACCCUGAUGCAGCGACGCCGCGUGAAGGAAGAAGUAUUUCGGUAUGUAAACUUCUAUCAGCAGGGAAGAAAAUGACGGUACCUGACUAAGAAGCCCCGGCUAAUUACGUGCCAGCAGCCGCCGUAAUAC
rnacentral:rRNA from 1 species